UCCCCCCAGAUCAGUCUAACUUUUCACUGUAUCGAUCUGAGAAAUUACUUGUAUGAAUUAAUAAACUUCUCUAUAUCAUUUCAAAAUUUUAUUUAU